GUUAAAGGUAUUAUCAGGAGUAAAGACUGCUGCGUUAAAGGUAUUAUCAGGAGUAAAGACUGCUGCGUUAAAGGUAUUAUCAGGAGUAAAGACUGCUGCGUUAAAGGUAUUAUCAGGAGUAAAGACUGCUGCGUUAAAGGUAUUAUCAGGAGUAAAGACUGCUGCGUUAAAGGUAUUAUCAGGAGUAAAGACUGCUGCGUUAAAGGUAUUAUCAGGAGUAAAGACUGCUGCGUUAAAGGUAUUAUCAGGAGUAAAGACUGCUGCGUUAAAGGUAUUAUCAGGAGUAAAGACUGCUGCGUUAAAGGUAUUAUCAGGAGUAAAGACUGCUGCGUUAAAGGUA